UACGGGGGGGGCAAGCGUUGUUCGGAAUUACUGGGCGUAAAGGGCGCGUAGGCGGCCCGCUAAGUCGAACGUGAAAUCCCCGGGCUCAACCCGGGAACUGCGUCCGAUACUGGUGGGCUCGAAUCCGGGAGAGGGAUGCGGAAUUCCAGGUGUAGCGGUGAAAUGCGUAGAUAUCUGGAGGAACACCGGUGGCGAAGGCGGCAUCCUGGACCGGUAUUGACGCUGAGGCGCGAAAGCCAGGGGAGCAAACGGG
rnacentral:rRNA from 1 species